rnacentral:rRNA from 1 species
AGAAUCAACGCUGGCGGCGUGCCUAACACAUGCAAGUCGAGCGAGAAAGGGGCUUCGGCCCUGAGUAAAGCGGCGCACGGGUGAGUAACACGUGGGUAAUCUGCCCUAGAGUGGGGAAUAACAUCGGGAAACCGAUGCUAAUAUCGCAUACGAUCACGAGGUCUUCGGAUUUUGUGAUGAAAGGAGCAAUCCGCUCUUGGAGGAGCCCGCGGCUGAUUAGCUAGUUGGUAAGGUAAUGGCUUACCAAGGCAACGAUCAGUAUCCGGUCUGAGAGGACGGUCGGACACACUGGAACUGAGACACGGUCCAGACUCCUACGGGAGGCAGCAGUGGGGAAUUUUUUCGCAAUGGGGGAAACCCUGACGAAGCAACGCCGCGUGGAUGAUGAAGUAUCUUGGUACGUAAAAUCCUUUCGACGGGGAAGAAAGCCGCAAGGUUUGACGGUACCCGUAGAAGAAGCCCGGCUAACUCCGUGCCAGCAGCCGC